UGUAGUAGAACCUGCCCCUGACGUGCUGGGCUUUCUGCGGGGCUCGCAGGGCCUUGGCGGCCUGCACGUGUGCCCAGGCGAUGUUCCCCACGUACACGGGGUUCACCAGAGCCUCCUUCCUGGAGAAGCGCAGGAGAAACAAAACUUUCGUCCUGCAAGUCCAUGAAGUACGUAGCAGUGCCCUGGCUGGUCAGAAAACCAGAAGAACAUCAGAAUGGAAAUGGAAGAAAACAGGGAAGAGAGGACAGCAGCAUUCACUCACUGACCUUGUGGUCACUUAGCUCUGGGAGCAGGACUGUAGAUGGUAUUUCAUUCUAGCAAAUCUUAUCAGCUAAUCCUCCCCAGUGACUCUGUGGGCUUUUUCACCCAUAGGCAGACACUGUUGGCAGGGGAGUGAGUACUGGGGAGUCAGAGCUAAAGAGCUUUCUGGGACAUUUUAAUAGUAGCUUGAUUUUUUUGUUUGUUUGUUUUUGGGGGUUUGUUUUUGGUUUGUUUUUUUUGGGGGGGGGGGUUUGGUUGCUUUUUUUUUUUUUUUUUAGUUGUUGCUUUUUAUUUUUCCCAACGUUAAAAUGAAUUUAAGAAGCACAUUCUUCUGUAAAGAAACAGACUGUAGUGGGAGUCCAGUCGUAAAGACAGAGCUUUAGAAAUCCUCUAUCUGAGCUACCAACCAGGUAUAUUUUCAUAUUACCCAAUGCACAGGUUUCCAGGAAACCUUUCUACUCUUCCCUCCUGACUGGGGCCUAAGAGGCUGCCCAGUGAGCUCUAUGCUUUGAUCACUGACAAUCUGUGGCUUUGAUUGAGCAGAAAUGAAAGGGUCUGGAAGCUAAUGGUACAGGGAAUGAGCCACACUGAAACAACUAAAAUGCCAUCCCACUGUUUUUAAAGUUCAUAAAAGAAACAACUCGACUGCCAAGAAUUCUCUCUUCCUCUGAACACUGGUGAGCAGCCAAGAUUUGUGAAAGUGAUGCCUGUACAUGUAUGUUCCUUAUUUUUCUGUGAAGAAGCCCUGUGUCUGGCAGAGAGGAACAAAGAACUGGGAAAGCUGUUCCUGUAAAUAAGAACACCUUCCCCAAAUCUCCCCCAAGCUGUUGAAGCAACACAGCCAGGGAGGCCAGUGUGCACGCAGGUUAGGCAGUGCCAGUUCUCUGAAUGGCACUGGGGGUUUUGGCAUCACAGACAGGAGGUGAAGUUGUUCUUUUAGGAAAUACAUUUAAACUUCCUGGUAGGUGAUGCUGCAUGGGCUAUUCCUAAGUCUAAACCUUCUCCCUUCACCUGAUCUUUCCUGAAGAAUGGGAGUUAGUGGAGGGAAAAAUCCAUCACUGAGUCACUGAAACUGCUCCCUCCCGAAGCUCUGAGAUUGUUGGGGAAUUUUAAAUUAUAAACUCAAGGUGGAAGAGCACUUGUUCCUCUCAACUGCCUUCUUGCACACACAGACUUAAAGGCAAAGGAAGGAAAAGGAGAAAGAAAAGAAAAACAGCAAGGAGAGAGCCACAGGCUCUGGGAUGUUAUCAAUGCAACAUUUCUGUCACUGCAGCCAAAGUCUGCACUAUUUGUAAACUUUGAAAAAUGUACACAGGCAGGGAUGCCAUGUCAGGUGGGAGAAUAAGAACCAAUUUCUGAGGUGAGCAUUGGGAUUUCAGAGGGGAAUUGCUUUCAGAAAGUUCCACUGAGCAUGGGUUUAUGACUCUCACCACUGAAGGCAGAGCUGUGCAGACCUCAGCAUGGGCGUAUAUAAGUGUUGACAAGAAUGAGUGAUCCUGCACUGCCCUGAAGUGGAAGACUGGGUGUGGAGAGGCCCAGAACUUCUUGGGGCUGCCUAGACAUGGGAUUUGCAUCCCUAGGUAUGUCUGUGCAAGAUGAAGAACGUCCCACUUAACCUGGCUCAAAACAAACACGGCUCAGGUGCUCCCUUCCCUGAGCAGACAGUGACCAGGACACAGAUGUGGCUUUGAGGAAGGUGCUUGCCCUGCUCACCUGUUACAUUGACUUCCCAGAGCAGCUUCUUCUCGAUGAGGCCCAGGGUGUCAAUGAGGGAAGCCGUGUGGAUAACGAGGGAGACCCCCUGGCAGGCUCGGUGCAGGAAUGUCACAUCUCGGAUGUCCCCUUCCAGGAUUUUCACCUCAGUCUUCCCCUUGAACUCUGCAGGGGCAGCAGAAAACAGAGCACAAGACCUUACAGGCACCCUAAGAAGAGCACUGGAAGGCUGGUGAAGAGCUGACCCUGCCUGGCAGGUGCUGACUGUCCAGGAACUGCAGGGAUAUUUUAAGGCUGUGAAACAGAAGGCAUUUCCCCAGGACUCUCUUGUCAAAUGCUAACUACAGUGCUACAGAGGUUUAUUUUGCAUUACCUGCCAUAGAUCUGGAGCCAAUAUUCAACAUGUUUCUUUAUAUUUUAUUUUUUAGAGGUCUUUUCCACUGCUAGCAAGCUUCCUUGAGUUGUGGCUGUGUUGAAGUUCACAGAAGAGUAGCUUUAGCUGUGCAUGUUCUGGUGGCUGCUGGCUAUAGAAGUGUUAACCCAAGAGCUCUGAACAGGCACUGCAUGUUCUUGUUUUCAAGCUGAUUUAUGAUCUCUCUUCACCCAGGGCGUGUGAGCACAGGGAUGUGUUCAUACCUACUUUCUGCCCCUUUACCUUGCCUGUAUUGCAGCUCUUCUAAUAAACUACAUACAAUUCUG